UCUCUCUCUCUCUCUCUCUCUCUCUCUUUCUCUCCCUCCCUCCUUCCUUCCACCCCUCCAGAGUCUUACUCUUAGAGAGAACUCAUACAGAGUUCUUCUUCCUCUUUUGAAACAGGACAGGGAAGGGACUAAGCUUUCCUCUCCUUGUGCCUUUUGUAUGCACACUAAGUUCUGGCUCAGCAGCUUCUUAUCACCUUGUGGUAAGCCAACAGGAAAUAAUCAGAGAAUGCUUUCACAUGCUCUGAAGAGAGGAAAUAAGAGCUACCUUUCCAUCACGUGCUACCAUGAAACUCACCAAACUUCCAUGUGGGUUGAUACUGAGAAGAGCAUAUUGGGAAUGUUGCAGGGACUACACCCAUGUUAACCAUAGUCACAGUUCAGGUCACCAACCUCACCAACCACCCCAGGCCACCAGAAUGCAGAAUCAUCCCCAUGGGAAGUGCUUCAGCCUGUGCAUAUAAAUCAAUCUAAGAGAUCCUGAAAUAAACACAGGCUUUGACUGAAUGUCUUGCCAGUGACUUUUAAACCAAAACUCAAAACUGGAAUGAUCACUAUGGAAAAGAGACCACAGGAAAUACAAAAGCACCAGCAGCAUCCAG